AAUCCUGGCUCGGGACGAACGCUGGCGGCGCGCCUAACACAUGCAAGUCGAACGAGCGAGAGAGAGCUUGCUUUCUCGAGCGAGUGGCGAACGGGUGAGUAACGCGUGAGGAACCUGCCUCAAAGAGGGGGACAACAGUUGGAAACGACUGCUAAUACCGCAUAAGCCCACGGCUCGGCAUCGAGCAGAGGGAAAAGGAGCAAUCCGCUUUGAGAUGGCCUCGCGUCCGAUUAGCUAGUUGG
rnacentral:rRNA from 1 species